GGGGUUGUGGCUCAGCGGUAGAGCGCUCACCUCGAAUGUGUGAGACCCUGAGUUCGAUCCUCAGCACCA
rnacentral:tRNA from 1 species